CCUGGAAGUUACUUGUUAUGAUACUCAAAAUUAUUGAUUCAAAACAGUGAGUAAACUACCCUUUUUCUUGCUCUUUUGCUGUGAAAUUUUCGUGACAGCAACAUAGCCAAAAGAGUGGCUGUUUUGGAGCAUCAAACCAACAACCAAAAGUUCAUCUUCAACCUUCCAUUCUUCAAGUAUUCACAUAAGGGAACCGCUAAGCAGGUUUGGAAAUCAACUUUUGAGGAUUAACGUGCUGACGUUAAUUACUUCUUUUGAAAGAUGUUUAUGUAUUUAUCUUUUGAACAUGUAACGAAUACAAUUAUGUAAACAUUUUGGAAACCUUAAUAUGUAUGGUGGUGUGUACUUUCCUUUC